rnacentral:rRNA from 1 species
CCCUACGGGGUGCAGCAGGCGCGAAACCUUUACAAUGCGCGAAAGCGCGAUAAGGGAACCCUGAGUGCCAGCACACAGUGUUGGCUGUCCAACUGUUCAAAAAACAGCUGAUAGCAAGGGCCGGGCAAGACCGGUGCCAGCCGCCGCGGUAACACCGGCGGCCCGAGUGGUAACCGAUUUUAUUGGGCUUAAAGCGUUCGUAGCCGGUUUGGAAAGUCUCUUAGGAAAUCUGGCAGCUUAACUGCUAGGCGUCUAAGAGAUACUGUUAAACUUGGGACCGGGAGAGGUAGGAGGUACUCCAUGGGUAGGGGUGAAAUCUUGUAAUCCUUGGAGGACCAUCGAUGGCGAAGGCAUCCUACCAGAACGGGUCCGACGGUGAGGGACGAAAGCUGGGGGCACAAACCGGAUUAGAUACCCGGGUAGUCCCAGCUGUAAACGAUGCUCGCUAGGUGUCGGGUACGGUGCGUCCGUAUUCGGUGCCGUAGGGAAACCGCGAAGCGAGCCGCCUGGGAAGUACGGUCGCAAGGCUGAAACUUAAAGGAAUUGGCGGGGGAGCAC